CUGAGGUGAGUAUAUCAGCUUUAGUUCGAGUUUUCGAACGGCGCGUACUCGGCCCUUCCGGUUUGGCUACAUAUUGCGCGACGUUUCUCUUGGCAGUUACAGACGUUUACUUGGCAUGCGCGCGGAGGCUAUUGUUACUGGAUUUUCUCUUUUGUGUCUUGUGUUUUAUGGCAAAAUGGUUCUUUCAUUUUUAUUUUUAUGUUAGAUAUAUUGGUAUUUGUAUAUUUGGCAAGCAGAAAUGAGUUCAUUGCAAAGUUGUACCUCCCAGUGAGCUGCUUAUGAACCCAACCAAGUUAAUCCUGUCUUGGCUAUUGUAUGUAUAAGACUUUUAAGUACAUACAAGUAGUUUUAAGUAGUUUUUAGUAAGUAAGUACAUACAAGUAGUUUUAAGUAGUUGGCUUAAUCGCUGUAGGAUAUUUUGUUGUAAAAGUAGAAUUCUGUGUAUUAUUUUACUGCUUCCAUGCAGAAAUAUAUUUUUUCUUGUACCAAGGACCUCUGACAGCGUUGAAUGACAUUUAAUGAAGUGUGGUGCAUUCUACUAAUUUAAAAAAAAUUUGUCUGUCAUGUAUCAAAGAUUAGUGUACCUUCUUGGAGAAACAAUGUUGUGAUCUCCUACUCUACUGCUGUUGUCCUGCAUGUUUCUUUAAUUUUGAAAUGUAUUUUAUUUUAGAUAUUGAAGAAGCGGCAACAGCCACAUGAAGUAGCCAUCUUAUCCAGCACGUUAUAGGUAGAACUUGCCGGCUCCUGCUCCUGCCUUCCGCCACCACCCUGUCCUGACUGUGUCCACGAGAGAGUUGGCAGCCUCAGUGAAGAUGCCAAGCAGGCCGAUGGCCGACAGCAAGAUGCAGGUUGCUGCGAAAUUUUACCCGAGCUGUGCCACACACUCGAGCCAGGCCUCUCGGAAAGGACGCAUAAUCUGACUUCACGCGUCGAUGUCAGAGGAUGCCAGCGAUCAAGGCAACCUGUUGUGCCCCAGCAUUCAACGUUUGGUGACCCUUCUACAUGUUUCACCUAUUUCGCAGCUGUACCUCGGCUGCCAUCUAUCCAAAGAGCAUCGCCAGCUGUGCCCACUUGUUGAAUCAUGAGCAAAUAUUGGCAUGGAGUGUUCCCUGGGCUUGAUGUUCUGUUUGCUCUUUAGGAUUCGUAGCAAAUACGCCUGUUAUAAGUUGUGUUUUAGUACUGACUUUUUAAUAUUUCCUUUCUCUUGGAAUUCUAAGCAUCAUCUCCUGCUAUUAUAUCUUUAUGUAUGCCCAGUUUCUCGUUGUUCUUUUGUACUUGUGUAUGUAAUUGAUCGGAGUCAUGAGGUCGGCAGAAAACCAGAUGGGAUGAUCAAGUUAGGAAAUUUGCAGGCGCAAUUUGGAAUAGGCUAGCGCAAGACAGGGGUAUUUGGAGAUCGCAUUGGAGAGGCCUUCGUCCUGCAGUGGACAUAAAAUAGGCUGAUGAUGAUGUAAUUGAUAGGUUCUUAACUGCUGACUUACAUCAUGUUUUGUUUAUUUGUUAAUCUGCACUGCUGUAAAAUGUUCAAGAAAUUUAACUUAACUAGUGCUCUACGGCAGGAUAAAUUCAAGAGCAAAAUAGAGCACUCAUUUCAAGCACCCAUUAUUUUUGAAAAGGGAAAGAACCUAGGAGCGUGAAAACCCCGGUAUUAUAGAAGGAAAAGCUGGCUGCCCAUCAUAAGUGUGUUAAUAAUGUUACUUCCUUUCAGUGCAAUGAUACCAGUGGCACUGGUGGACAACGUGUGAGACAUGAUACCCUUGGUAUUCGUCAGUGUGGCAAAUAGGCUUGCCACACUUAUGAAUGCCAACGGUACUGUAGGUUUCAUGCACACAUUGGUUGUGUUACACCUUAUAAGAAUUGCAUUUCUCGAACAUGAAGGUUUACAGAAGUGCUUUGAAUGACAAAUAUAUUUCCUAAUUUUCAGAAUUUAUUAAUGGAAGCGUAAUGGUACAGAUCAUGUAAUAAUUAUUUUACAGACUAUAUGCCUAUAGAUGCACGCUUCUUCUGAUGACAUAGCACCGACAUGUGGUGGCGGGAUGUAUGUCUUUAUUUCAGAUUUAGAUAUUGCCUUCCAGGCCUGGGUUAGUCUACUACAUUUAGAGUCCGUGUACUAGAGGGAAGUGAAUUAAACUAAGAAUCAUAAACAUCGAAAUAUCUUGUUCGUGACACUAAUAUGACAAUCGGCAAAGUUCUUUGUGCAUUCAUUUCCAGAUUUGUGAUAUAUUUUAUAUGACUAAUUUCAUUAACGUUAGAACAAAUAUUUGUUUAUUGUCAACUCAGUCGAUGUCACCUAUUUGCACUCCAUUACUUUGCAGGCUAAAAAUUCAAUGUAAUGGGGUGUUUCAGGUUUUGAGCACUCAAUGUUAAGGGACGCAAAUGGUGGCAUACAACACAAAGCAAGAAAGAACAAGGGAAUGCAAGUAGUACAUGGGGCUCUGUAGGCAGACACUUUGGUGUGUUAUUUCUAAAACUCCCUGCGGUCUGCUUGAAGCCAUUGUAUAACGCUUGGGUAGAAUACAUUGGCAGCACUUAUUAAGGUGAAAUGCUGCUCGAAACAACUUUUUAAAAUGAUUUCUGUCAGGGAUUUGAAAAAAAAACUGAUGCAUAGAGUUCUAUAUGUAGAUUUUAAAUAUGUCAGUGGUUCUUGUGUAGCUGCUAUAUUUUUUUAGUUAUGUCCUACACAGUGGCAAAGUAUCUGCGGGCACCUUUAUGUAUAUAACAGUUUCACAAGAAUCAUCGUGCUGUAUCUUAUUCAACUCGUUGUAGACCACAAAUUGCCGAUAUCUACCCAAACAGCAUGUAAAAUUGUUGAAACUAUGCAAAAAAUAGGACACUAAAUAAUUUUGAAAGAUAUUGCAAUAUCAAGUAGAUAUUAGCAUUCUACAUACCAUGAAGAGUAUGUAUGCCAAAUUUCGUUAGUAUCGGACAAUGGUAAGUGCACAGUUAUUUGCAUGGGAUUGUGAAAAAAUGAUUAAAGUGUACUGAGCUUUACUUGCAUAGUCCCACUAAGUUUACAUGUUUAGAUAGAUAUCGGCACUUUGCCAUCUACAAAGAGCCAAGCUAGCACAAUGCUUUUUGUGAAAAUUUAAUACAGAAGAAAGUGCCCGCAAAGAUCACUAUACAUAGUGUCAUUGUUUAAGACAUAACUGAAGAAAUGUAGCAGCUAAACAAAAAUAACAUAUACGAAAAUCGGCUUGAAGAACUCUCUAGAUGGCCUAAUUUUCAAACCUCUAGUACAAAAAAUUAAAAAAUAACCAUUUCGAAUAGCAUCUCCCUUGAACACAAGAUUUAAUAAACAAAACGUGUCCCUUGCUAUAGUCACCUAUAACAUAGCGACCCAAAGUUGAAGGCAAGUCCUCUUGUCUAAGCUACUCUGGGCUGUCUUCCCUUGGGCUGCUGUUAAGCACUGAAUUUUCCUGUAUUCGCCAGAAGUGCAAUACGAAAACUUUUGUGAAUAUGCCCUAACAGGAGGAAAAAAAGUUCCCUGAAAUGCAGAUAAGACUGUCACUUUGUUCAACAUUUACAAGUUGAAUCCAUAUCUUUGUAUUGUGUGUUGUACUGAAUGUUUCAGCGGUGACUCCCUCUAAUUAUUGAAGAUAACUGCUUCAAUACAGUGCAGCAAUCUCUGCUAACAAACAUAGCAUUAGAAUUGCAGUGCAUAAGAAUUUCUGCUAUGUAAGAAAUAGACUAGUGCCAGUUCUGAGAAACACAUCACCAAAAGCAAUGAGGGAAUAGAUUUCUGUUCCACACAGAACCGUGCUACAGGGCUUACAAAAGGCUUUGUGGCAAAGUAAUAUCUGAAACAACAAAGCAUGCUCCACCAAGUAUGGUAACAAAGAUUUCAGGGCAGCCUAUCUCAGUUCUCUUACAAACUAACCAUACGUUCAGCACUGACUAGCUUCAAUAAUGCAAUGUCAGCAUUCUGCUGAAGUUUACUUGCUGAAAUUAUACUUUCAUUGUUGUGAUUUUGCUUAAGAAGACAUUCGCAAUUAUCACGCACUUGUAAUCUCUUGUUUGGUAAAUAUUUGCCAAUUAUUUUUUCAGCCUAUGGUUCUUGGUGAUAGAGAUAUUCAUUGAAGAAAGAGCUAGUACAUUGUAUUUAAUUAUAAAGGUACUAGUCAUUUGUAGAUUUUUUGUGUUAUGCAGUUGUUCUGCCCCACAGCUCUUUCUUGAAAUCUGAAAUAAUGUACUCGCCCUUUAUCUUAGCAAUGUACAGUGUAAUCUGUAUGUCUUGUUUAAAAUACUGCUGAUAGACCAGAUAGGCUAUUUGUUAAUUGUAAAUCAUAUUGAUGAUAGUGUGGGACCAUAACAGGAUUGGCGUUGACUCACAACUGUGCCCAGCUACAUCCACACAGCUGUACCAUACAAUGUGCAUGUGCUCAGAAGAGCUAAAUGCCACAGAGAAGUAAUGGCCACCAAGGCUUUUACUCGUUGCGUGUGAUCUUUUAAGGGCAGAUUAUUCGCCAGAUGUAAUUUAUCCUCAGUAAAUACAUAAAUCAGUUAUGUGAGGUGUCUCAUUUUAAUGUUGCAAAUGUGAAGUUCUUGUGAUAUUGCUUGUUCCUAUUUUGUUUCCUUUGUGAGCAUGAGUGAUGUAGGUUGCCUCGACGCAAAUUCUAAAAACUGUUUCUUCGUCACUGAGAUUCACAAAAGUUAAUUUACACAUAACUUUCCCAGUUACUAAUAUCGCAGGCUUCGAGUUCAAUUUUCUGAUGUUUGAUGUUAUGUUUAUCUACCAAGUCGGGUUUUGUCGUACAUUGAAACAUAUCCACCCAUUGCACAGUGGGCACCCAAAGUAUGAAUAUCUGUUCUUUCUUUCUACCUUGCUCUGGUGUUUUCUUAGUUUAGCAUUGGUGCAAUGGUCUGUCUGCACCUGCAAAAAAGUAGCAAAGUGGCUAAAUUUAAAGGUCGACGAAAGGAUAAAAAUACCAAGCAAAAAUACCAAGCCGUAUAUUGAAAAGUUUGCAUACUGUUAGAAGAAAAUGCGACAUCCCCCUAUGGUGUGAGAGUUGCUUUCGGCAUCAAAUGAACUGCAUAGCAUAUUUUCUAGAGUACACAACAAAGUGAAAUGUCACUCUAGAUAGGAGCGGCUGUGGAUAGUUCAGCACAGAAAAUGUUUUAUUUCAUGCACCAUUAAUGUGGCUUAUCAUCUGCUCCUCUUGUGUGGGAACACAUACGUUGAGUAGACCAGCCUUCACACCAAUGUUACCUUAAGGGACACCAGAGAAAGGUAGAAAUAAAAAACAGACAUUCACACUUGGCUGCCUACUGUGCAUUGUGUGGAUGUUUUACUGUACAAAAGACUGCUGGUAGUAGAUAAUCACAAAGACUUUAAGAAUUUAAAAUUAGUGUUAUGUGUCAGUAAACCUUCUGUGACCUCGUGUGUCCAUAAAAACCUUUUUUUUCUUUAUGUGCCAAGCCAUAGGGAGGCUUUAUGUUAGUCAGUCAUGCUUGCUAAGUUAAAAAUCAGGACAAGAUCACAAGAACUUUAUAUGAGUGACAUGCAAAUGUGGCACCUAGUGUAACUUAAUGCAUUUACUGAGAGUAAAUUACAGCUGGUAGCUAAUCUGCUCUUAGAGGGUACGUGACUUAUGAUGAGUAAAAGAAGCCUUCCUCACGUCUCUACUUUCUGUAUGUGUCUUUUGGCUCUUCAUGCAUCAUGUGUAUUGUAUUGCUACAGCUGCAUGUGUGCAGCUGGGUACAGUUUAGUUAUCACCUGGUCUGCUUCCUUCCUUGUCCUCAUCAUUCAUGCGCUAUCUUUGUCGUAACAAAAUACAGCUAACUGUGCUACAUAUUUUGCCAGUGUGUUUGCUUUAUGGUAAGUCUUGUAUUAGUGCUUAUUGCAAUCAGUGAAAUUGUUGGUGUCUUAAAAAACUUAGUGCUGAAAAAACAUGUUUAUGUCAACUUAAAUAAAAAGUUUAUCAUAAAUAUUGCUGUGUUUUUUGUAAUAUUGUCGGUUAAGAUUUUAUGCACUAUUGCAGAUUGUAUGAAAGAAUAAAAUUGAUGCACAACUGUUUAAUAUGGUGUUUUUCAGAUCAAUUUUCAACUCAAGCUAAGAAACACACAUUAGUUGUGUGGGGAAAGUGUCAACAAGAGUACCAUAAGGUAAGACAGCUGUUUUUACUGUUAAAUUGGAUUAUCGAUUGCCAACCAGUUGCUGUCUGCAUUUUGUACUGCAUAGAUUAUGUAAUCUCAGUUGGAAUAUUGUUUUUAUUGCACUUCUUUAUCUGGUUCUUUUUGCACCAGUGUAGCCCUUUGUUAUAUUUUAUGUGUAGUUUAUUUGUAUAGGAGGUUAUAUCCUAAGUUCUAAAUAAAAAUACGUCUGAGAGAACAGUGAAAUAGGUUUAGCUUAAGAACCUUUUGACAUAACGAAAUUAUGACGUGUUGGGGUGAAUUGAACUUUUGUAUGAGUGACAUACUAUUUUGGGGUGUCAUUAUGGUUCAGAGUGACAUUGCAGUGUCAUGCACAUGCAGCUGCAAGGUGCAUAUUGGGUGUUUCUUUAAAACUGUUUGUCUUGGUUGGCCAUUGAUUCCAGUUUAAUAGUAAAGAGAACUGUCUUGUGUUCAUGGUGAUUCUGUGCUGACUGAUACAUUUGACACUUGCAGAAGACAAUAACAAAGAGUGAUGGAA